rnacentral:lncRNA from 1 species
GAGAUGAUUAGCAUACCCGUGAAAUGAAAAAAGGAGAGAUAUAUCAUGUCCUUCUACAGGUUUUAAAAACACAGUCCAUAACCCAUCACCUUUCCUAUCUUUAUCCAUUUCAAUCUCUUAGCUUCUUCCAUUUUUCAGUUUUCAAUCCUCAAUCUUCAUUCAGUAGUAGGUAAAUAAUCAGAGAAUCCUUUGGAGGUUCAAGCACUCAACAUUUCUUUUAUAUACCGAGUCUUGUUACCUUCUUGUGUUUGAUUAUAUGGUAUUGACUUAAGCCUGCAGGACCCAAAGGAUGGAGAGUGGACAAAUGGUCAACAAGGGCAUGAAGGUAGAGAAUCCAUCAGAGACUGAAAGCAUGUCAAGUGGUGGCACAAAGUUUACUUCAGGGUUUCAAAGACAGACAGGCGCUUCAAAGAGUAAUUGCUUAUGCUCUCCAACCUCCCAUGCUGGUUCUUUCCGGUGCAGGUUACACCGUUCCCCGAGCCUUCAACGAACCAAAAGCAUUGACUCUGCAUCUCUGAGAGACUCAGAAACUAAUAUCAACACGACAGCUGAUGAUACUAGUAAUGCACAGCUGAUGAUACUAGUAAUGCACACAAUUGAGUCCCAGUAAUUCACAUGAACGUAUUGAAUGUACUGUAAGUGUGCUAGCUGUUGCUACCUGCGGUUGUUUGCUAGCAUGUAUAUUGUCUUGGAGGUGUACAUCUGCUAUUUUCUUUGUUUUUGUUUCCUCUUGUAUAAGUAAAAUGUUACCUAUUUCUAUCUCUUUCGCUUCUCUCCUUCAGAUCAGGAACAGAAAAAGGUUUUGCCAGUAGUUGAUUAAUGUCUUUUUACUAGAGGUGAGCCUAGAAGCUGAUUUGGUAAAUGAACUUAUUAGGAUUGCAAGGAACGAGACUUACUACCAACAGAAGUUUUUAUUACUGUCGGUCUCCAGGCUAUACAUCAACGUUUUCUAGAGAUUCUAAUCAGAUUGAAGAACCACUGUUGUUAACCAACAUUAGCAGUGUGGCCAACACGA